rnacentral:lncRNA from 1 species
AGAUCUUGCACUGGGUCCCUGUGCCUGCCUGCCAUCGAGGAUCCAAAAUCUAAGGAUGAUGCUCGGAGUCCCACCACAGCCUGUCAGAGUUCACAUAGCGAAACCCAAAGCGCCUGCCCCUGUGACAUCAUCUGAAUUCAGCCACCCUCACUACCGCCACCAGCCCAGGAUAAGGAUCAUAUUUCCAGUCUCCUUUGCAGCUACCCGGCCACUGGACCAAUCUCCAACCAGGCAGAUAAAGGGAUGGAAGUUAGAGUCUCGCCUGGCGACUUCCGAAAUUCAACCCACUGCUGGAGGAAUUCACGGAUACAGGAACCGUAAAUGCAGAGACGAGCUGGGAUUGCGUGUGCAGUGGGAACAGCCUCAGAAUAGCUCAUCAUCUAACAGAGGUUGGUAACAACUGAAGCUCCUCUCGGGCUGCCUGAGGGAUAUACCGGACUUCUAAUGCCUGGUCCUCAACCUUAAAUCUUGAGAGAGCUUGGGACCCACGUGUCUCUCUGGACACCACGGAGACCAAGGCUAGACCCAUGGAUUGACACUGCAUUCCAGACAAGCGUCCAAGCCUCCUGACUGCCACAUGGUGCCUGCGACACUGGCUGCUUUGUGUCACCUCGCCAGGGGCAGGCCUGGACUGCUUUAUAAACUCUUGGUGGCAUUCUGCCUGGGGCUGGCAAAGCCAGACAGGGCACAGGAAGGGAGCAGGGAGGAGGGGGCAGUGACAUCCCAAAUAAAGCUCGUGGUUUGGAAA